UACGUAGGGGGCUAGCGUUGUCCGGAUUUAUUGGGCGUAAAGAGCGUGUAGGCGGCCAGGUAGGUCUGGUGUGAAAACUCGAGGCUUAACCUCGAGAUGUCAUCGGAAACCAUCUGGCUAGAGUCCGGAAGAGGAGAGUGGAAUUCCUGGUGGUAGCGGUGAAAUGCGCAGAUAUCAGGAAGAACACCAAUGGCGAAAGCAGCUCUCUGGGACGGUACUGACGCUGAGACGCGAAAGCGUGGGAGCGAACAGG
rnacentral:rRNA from 1 species